CCUACGGGAGGCAGCAGUGGGGAAUAUUGCACAAUGGGGGGAACCCUGAUGCAGCGACGCCGCGUGAGUGAAGAAGUAUUUCGGUAUGUAAAGCUCUAUCAGCAGGGAAGAAAAUGACGGUACCUGACUAAGAAGCCCCGGCUAACUACGUGCCAGCAGCCGCGGUAAUACGUAGGGGGCAAGCGUUAUCCGGAUUUACUGGGUGUAAAGGGAGCGCAGACGGCUGUGCAAGUCUGGAGUGAAAGGGGGGGGCCCAACCCCCGGACUGCUCUGGAAACUGUAAAGCUGGAGUGCAGGAGAGGUAAGCGGAAUGCCUGGUGUAGCGGUGAAAUGCGUAGAUAUUAGGAGGAACACCAGUGGCGAAGGCGGCUUACUGGACUGCAACUGACGUUGAGGCUCGAAAGCGUGGGGAGCAAACAGGAUUAGAUACCCCGGUAGUC
rnacentral:rRNA from 1 species